UUCUGCCAGGGAACGGGGUGAGGCCACCGAUGCUGGGAGUGAUUUGGAAUAAGCACCCAGGGAGCUCGAGGCGGCGGUCAGGCAUUCGGGGCCAGCGUCUCUGAUGCGGGGCCCCCCAGACCGACACUCCGCUGCUGUGAGUCGCUGCGGCCACACCACGCGUCCGUGUGCAAACACUCCACACCGGUCGGUAAACAGCCGCAGCCCGCUCGCCCGACACCUCCCGCCACCGCACAGCCAGCCAGCGGGGAACACACGGCCCAGCAGAGGGCCUCCAGGAGCUGGCGCGGAGGACCCCGCGGACGGCUGCUCUGGCAGGCUGCAGAGUGGAAAGGGCCCACCCAGUAAGGACUUAAGAGGACCGGUGUAAAUGCUGAUCUCUCUGACCGAGGCCUUCUCUUCCUGAAGUGCCUGCCCAAAGGGGCGUGCAAAUUGUAACCACUCUGCUUGCACUAGCUGCUCCAGACAGGGUCUAUCCUCUGCCACCGUGCAUGGGCUUCAGCCUGUCAAGGAUGCCCAUGGUCCUGCUACAGCACUGCAGGUUCUGGGCCAGCUGGGCCAGGUAACCUGGUGGCCAGAGUGGAAGAGAUGAUGUAAAGAUGCAGAUUGUUUAACCUGGAGAAGAGCAGGUGGUCCAAGGGGCCAUGGUUAGAAGUCUUCAAAUGCAUGCAUAGUAGGAAAAACAUGAAAGUGUUCUGUACAGCUUUGAGGGGUGGAAUCAAGUGGGCCCAGUGCUAGGAUUUAAGAGGUCAGAUUUUUUUUUUCUAACCAUCUUAUCCAUUUUAAAGUGUACAAUUUGGUAUUGUUAAGUAUAUUCACAUCAUUGUACAACAUCUUGCAAAACGGAAACUCUAUACCCAUUAAACAUUAAUUCCCACUCACUCAAGCCCUUGGCAACCACCUUUCUACUUUCUGUCUCUAUGAUUUUCACUACUUUAGAUACUUCAUGUGAGUGGAAUCAUACAGUAUCUGUCCUGUUGUGACUGAUUUAUUUCACUUAGUAUAGUGUGCUUAAAGUUCAUCCAUAUUGUAGCAUGUGACAGGAUUUCCCUCUUUUUUAAGGCUAUAUAAUAUUUCAUUGUAUGUAUAGACCACAU